rnacentral:lncRNA from 1 species
CUAAUCUGAUAAUUAAGUGCGGAUAAUUUGACAAGUAGACACAAAUAAUCUGACAAGUAGGCUUACUAGUCACAAUUAAUAUGUCAAGCUCGUAAGUACACAUGUAUAGACGAGUAGAAUGCACAAAUAAAAUCAAUAAGUAUGACUUUGUGAUAUAUGUUAGAGUGACGCCCCUUUUUUAGGGACUCUGAUGUGUAUUGAUAAUUUCUACGUGCUAGAAUCGAUCAAAAAAAAUUAUACACCGUGAAAAAUAGAUGCAAUUUGAAAAGAAGAAAAGAAAAAUGUCAAACGUGUCGACGUGCGCUACUAGCUAUUUCCAUUUUAUUUGAUCCUGC